rnacentral:rRNA from 1 species
CCUUGUACACACCGCCCGUCACACCAUGGGAGUGGGUUGCAAAAGAAGUAGGUAGCUUAACCUUCGGGAGGGCGCUUACCACUUUGUGAUUCAUGACUGGGGUGAAGUCGUAACAAGGUAACCGUAGGGGAACCUGCGGUUGGAUCACCUCCUUACCUGAAAGAA